rnacentral:snRNA from 1 species
AUCGCUUCUCGGCCUUUUGGCUAAGAUCAAGUGUAAAAUAACUGGUAAAUUAUUUCUUCACCCUAAAAUGACUUUUGCAAUGUCCUAUAUAGUUCAUCAUAAUCCAAAGCAAAUCCAAAAUAUGUGAUUUGAAUGUACAUUCU